rnacentral:rRNA from 1 species
UCUUCCUACGGGGGGCAGCAGUGGGGAAUAUUGCACAAUGGGGGAAACCCUGAUGUAGCGACGCCGCGUGAAGGAUGAAGUAUUUCGGUAUGUAAACUUCUAUCAGCAGGGAAGAAAAUGACGGUACCUGACUAAGAAGCCCCGGCUAACUACGUGCCAGCAGCCGCGGUAAUACGUAGGGGGCAAGCGUUAUCCGGAUUUACUGGGUGUAAAGGGAGCGUAGACGGUAUGGUAAGUCUGAUGUGAAAACCCGUGGCUCAACCUCGGGACUGCAUUGGAAAUUGUCGGACUAGAGUGU